rnacentral:rRNA from 1 species
ACUUCCAGGAUUACCUAGUACUGCGAGUGACCGGGAAAAGCUCAAAUUUUGAAUCUGGCGGUCCUUGCGGCCGUCCGAGUUGUAAUCUAGAGAAGCGUCUUCCGCGCUGGACCGUGUAUAAGUUUCCUGGAAUGGAACGUCGUAGAGGGUGAGAAUCCCGUCUUUGACACGGACUGCCAGGGCUUUGUGAUGCGCUCUCGACGAGUCGAGUUGUUUGGGAAUGCAGCUCAAAUAGGGUGGUAAAUUCCAUUUAAAGCUAAAUACAGGCGAGAGACCGAUAGCGAACAAGUACCGUGAGGGAAAGAUGAAAAGAACUUUGGAAAGAGAGUUAAACAGUACGUGAAAUUGCUGAAAGGGAAACGCUUGAUGUCAGUCGCGUUUGCUGGGGAUCAGCCUAGCUUUUUGCUUGGUGUACUUCCUGG